GGCUCCAUGAGAAAAAGAAUGGAGUUCCUUGACUUUGAUUAACAAAUGAUGCCAUUAUGUUUUAAGUUUAUGCCAUGUCCGCAAAUAUUAGAGCGGCGGUGAUUCAGAAAUUGGAGAGCUUGGCUUGAGUCUACAAGAUUCUCACAUUCAGUCUGUGGCUUGGGGAAGCUAUAAAAACAGUAACAGUUGAACCUCCUUUGCUAAGUAUGAGAGGAAAUUGUAUUUUGGAUCUAUUAAGGGGGCAAUGCGCGUGGCUAUGCUAGGCUCUUUAGUUUUAGUUCAAGAUUUGGUUUCUCUCCUUAAGUUAUACUAAAGAUCAUGUUCUAUUUUUGCCUGUUGUUUCCCCUUCUUUUUUUUUUUUUUUCCCAAUCCUCUCAGCUUUUCACUUCUCUGCUUAAAGCAAUUGGGAAAUUGCUUUAGUUUAUCAAGUUGUGCCACAUUUUGUUAUUCGUGCUAAUUUCUGUGAUGUUUCACAAAUCGAUACAGUUGAAUUCUCUUUUUUUAGUUUACGAGAAGAAGGAUAAUUUUGGACAAAACCAAAUUAUGAGUAUUAAUUGACCAUAAUCCUUAAAUUGGAACGCCUAAAUGGAAUUUCAUUCGACUCCGUUGGGUUUGCAUUGCUGUUUUGGAUUGCUGUUUUUAGUACUGAAAAAAAAAAAAAAAAAAAAAAUGAGUUUAAUCUGGAAUAAGUUUGCAAGUUAGCUCAUUGGAAACAAGCUUGAGCUAAACAAAAUUUAUGAAAUGGACUGCACCACUACCAAAAUAUUUCAUCCUAUGGUUGCAUAGAACUUAUUUAAUGUGAACUAUACUUUCUUUUAUAAAGGAAAAAUAACAUUAUUGUAGUUUUUGUUUGGAAUGAGAUCUGCAACCAUGCUAAUAAACACUAAUGAGCCUAAUAAUGAGUUCGUUCGUAAGUUGUUGAGUUCAAUUUAAUUAUAGUUUUGCUUGUUUUCCUAAUGACAUUUAUUUUUAGGUUUGAGUUAAUUUGUUAACAAUAACAUUGACAAAACCAAAUAAGUUUUUAUCAAGAUUAGCUCUAAACAAUUUAUUAAUGACAUGAUUUGUUUGCAGGCCUUAUUUCCACAUCAAUUAUUACAUGUCUAUUUGCUGUGUUAUUUUGUUGUGUCAGGCUCAAAAGGCAGAGAGGGAGGCUACUGAUCUAAAGGGCUCCAUGAGAAAAAGAAUGGAGUUCCUUGACUUUGAUUAACAAAUGAUGCCAUUAUGUUUUAAGUUUAUGCCAUGUCCGCAAAUAUUAGAGCGGCGGUGAUUCAGAAAUUGGAGAGCUUGGCUUGAGUCUACAAGAUUCUCACAUUCAGUCUGUGGCUUGGGGAAGCUAUAAAAACAGUAACAGUUGAACCUCCUUUGCUAAGUAUGAGAGGAAAUUGUAUUUUGGAUCUAUUAAGGGGGCAAUGCGCGUGGCUAUGCUAGGCUCUUUAGUUUUAGUUCAAGAUUUGGUUUCUCUCCUUAAGUUAUACUAAAGAUCAUGUUCUAUUUUUGCCUGUUGUUUCCCCUUCUUUUUUUUUUUUUUUCCCAAUCCUCUCAGCUUUUCACUUCUCUGCUUAAAGCAAUUGGGAAAUUGCUUUAGUUUAUCAAGUUGUGCCACAUUUUGUUAUUCGUGCUAAUUUCUGUGAUGUUUCACAAAUCGAUACAGUUGAAUUCUCUUUUUUUAGUUUACGAGAAGAAGGAUAAUUUUGGACAAAACCAAAUUAUGAGUAUUAAUUGACCAUAAUCCUUAAAUUGGAACGCCUAAAUGGAAUUUCAUUCGACUCCGUUGGGUUUGCAUUGCUGUUUUGGAUUGCUGUUUUUAGUACUGAAAAAAAAAAAAAAAAAAAAGAAAUUGCCGCUGACAAGUUGAGAAUUUCUUUUAAGAGGCACCUGAAUUAGUG
rnacentral:lncRNA from 1 species